GACGAACGCUGGCGGCGUGCUUAAUACAUGCAAGUCGAGCGAGGUCCAUCUGGUGGCAACACCAGUGAAGGCCGAGCGGCGAACGGGUGAGUAACACGUGAGCAACCUGCCCCGAAGUCUGGAAUAACAUCGGGAAACCGGUGCUAAUACCGGAUCGCCCCACCUGACCGCAUGAUCGGGUGAGGAAAGAUUUUAUCGCUUCGGGAGGGGCUCGCGGCCUAUCAGCAGUUGGUGGGGUAACGGCCUACCAAGGCGUCGACGGGUAGCUGGUCUGAGAGGACGACCAGCCACACUGGGACUGAGACACGGCCCAGACUCCUACGGGAGGCAGCAGUAGGGAAUCUUGCGCAAUGGGCGAAAGCCUGACGCAGCAACGCCGCGUGGGGGAUGACGGCCU
rnacentral:rRNA from 1 species